AUGUGCGGCCAGCGGGCGCCCCCCCCUUUUCCUCCCCCGCCCGGUGUCCUGUGGCGGAGGCCGCGUCCCGCGGUGGCACCCACCUUGGCACUGCGUGUCCAUCUCCCGCAGCAGGGAGGCGUUGCGCUGGAUGUCCAGCGGCAGCGACUCCACGCACUCCAGGUUUCCAUGGGAUGAAGAGGGUGAAGAAUUCGCCAAGAUACCAAGAAAAGAAACACAAUGAAAAGAAAGAAUGAGUACAAGCCAGAUGGGCUUUUUGAAAACUCAGCUGAAGAAAGCUAUAGGCCAUGGAAAGCUCAUGCAGAAGGCCAUAGUUAACCUUCAUAUAGAUGAUAUUCUAGGAAGAGGCUAUCCUUGCUGAAGCUAGAGAGAGAAGCAUGUUUAUCUGAGUAAGCUAUUCUUGAAAACUUAUUUAACAUCAGGUCAUCCAAAAAAGCCAUUUGCCUGUAAUGGCUGACGACAUCACUUUUGAUUUUCCUUAAAUACUAGGCUUGAUUUAUCUAGUUUAACGCAAAUCAUAUGGAAACAACCAUUAUUAUUUUUCUCUUUCAUUUACACAAGUGUAGGACACCUGAAAACAAGACAUUGGCUAACAUCAGAUCAUUUCAAUAAGGUGAUGUACUAAACCAGUACAUCUCCUGAAAACACUGAUGUGGUGGGUUUUUCUUUUUCCCAGCUAGCAUCAUACUCAUCUGCAUCAAAGAGCUGUCUAGCACCAAGUAACAAACAUCCCGUACUGAUCAGGAGAUGUAUGUUAUUCCUCAUCCAAUGCAAACAUCUGUUCAAAAACUGGAGAAGCUCCAAGUUUUCUGGCAAUAUGCUCUAAAAGAAAAUUUCUUCCUGUGCCCAAAUUAGUGAUCAGUUGACUUGUUUUAACAUGGGGAAAAAGGCAGCUGCAAUAUCUAGCUCAUCUUUUUUCUUCAAACUUGUGGGUUCUGUUUAUCUCACCACAAGCAAAGUGAAAAAAUGGAGUAAAGUGUGCAAACCCA